UACGUAGGUGGCAAGCGUUGUCCGGAUUUACUGGGCGUAAAGCGCGCGCAGGCGGAUUGGUUAGUCUGAGGUGACAGCGCACGGCUCAACCGUGCGUGGUCCUUGGAUACUGCCAGUCUUGAGGUGUCUAGGGGAGAGCGGAAUUCCGGGUGUAGUGGUGGAAUGCGUAGAUAUCCGGAGGAACACCAGCGGCGAAGGCGGCUCUCUGGGGACAACCUGACGCUGAGGCGCGAAAGCGUGGGGAGCGAACCGG
rnacentral:rRNA from 1 species